rnacentral:rRNA from 1 species
UUAAGCGACUAAGCGUACACGGUGGAUGCCCUGGCAGUCAGAGGCGAUGAAGGACGUGCUAAUCUGCGAAAAGCGUCGGUAAGGUGAUAUGAACCGUUACAGCCGGCGAUGUCCGAAUGGGGAAACCCAGUGCAAUUCGUUGCACUAUCGUUAACUGAAUACAUAGGUUAACGAGGCGAACCGGGGGAACUGAAACAUCUAAGUACCCCGAGGAAAAGAAAUCAACCGAGAUUCCCCCAGUAGCGGCGAGCGAACGGGGAGCAGCCCAGAGUCUGAAUCAGCUUGUGUGUUAGUGGAACGGUCUGGAAAGUCCGACGGUACAGGGUGAUAGUCCCGUACACCAAAAUGCACAGGCUGUGAACUCGAAGAGUAGGGCGGGACACGUGGUAUCCUGUCUGAAUAUGGGGGGACCAUCCUCCAAGGCUAAAUACUCCUGACUGACCGAUAGUGAACCAGUACCGUGAGGGAAAGGCGAAAAGAACCCCGGCGAGGGGAGUGAAAAAGAACCUGAAACCGUGUACGUACAAGCAGUGGGAGCACCUUCGGGUGUGACUGCGUACCUUUUGUAUAAUGGGUCAGCGACUUAUAUUCUGUAGCAAGGUUAACCGUAUAGGGGAGCCGCAGGGAAACCGAGUCUUAACUGGGCGUUAAGUUGCAGGGUAUAGACCCGAAACCCGGUGAUCUAGCCAUGGGCAGGUUGAAGGUUGGGUAACACUAACUGGAGGACCGAACCGACUAAUGUUGAAAAAUUAGCGGAUGACUUGUGGCUGGGGGUGAAAGGCCAAUCAAACCGGGAGAUAGCUGGUUCUCCCCGAAAGCUAUUUAGGUAGCGCCUCGUGAACUCAUCUUCGGGGGUAGAGCACUGUUUCGGCUAGGGGGUCAUCCCGACUUACCAACCCGAUGCAAACUACGAAUACCGAAGAAUGUUAUCACGGGAGACACACGGCGGGUGCUAACGUCCGUCGUGAAGAGGGAAACAACCCAGACCGCCAGCUAAGGUCCCAAAGUCAUGGUUAAGUGGGAAACGAUGUGGGAAGGCACAGACAGCCAGGAUGUUGGCUUAGAAGCAGCCAUCAUUUAAAGAAAGCGUAAUAGCUCACUGGUCGAGUCGGCCUGCGCGGAAGAUGUAACGGGGCUAAACCAUGCACCGAAGCUGCGGCAGCGACACUAUGUGUUGUUGGGUAGGGGAGCGUUCUGUAAGCCUGCGAAGGUGUGCUGUGAGGCAUGCUGGAGGUAUCAGAAGUGCGAAUGCUGACAUAAGUAACGAUAAAGCGGGUGAAAAGCCCGCUCGCCGGAAGACCAAGGGUUCCUGUCCAACGUUAAUCGGGGCAGGGUGAGUCGACCCCUAAGGCGAGGCCGAAAGGCGUAGUCGAUGGGAAACAGGUUAAUAUUCCUGUACUUGGUGUUACUGCGAAGGGGGGACGGAGAAGGCUAUGUUAGCCGGGCGACGGUUGUCCCGGUUUAAGCAUGUAGGCUGGUUGUCCAGGCAAAUCCGGAUAAUCAAGGCUGAGGUGUGAUGACGAGGCACUACGGUGCUGAAGUAACAAAUGCCCUGCUUCCAGGAAAAGCCUCUAAGCAUCAGGUAACAUUAAAUCGUACCCCAAACCGACACAGGUGGUCAGGUAGAGAAUACCAAGGCGCUUGAGAGAACUCGGGUGAAGGAACUAGGCAAAAUGGUGCCGUAACUUCGGGAGAAGGCACGCUGGUGUGUAGGUGAAGCCCCUGCGGGUGGAGCUGAGACCAGUCGAAGAUACCAGCUGGCUGCAACUGUUUAUUAAAAACACAGCACUGUGCAAACACGAAAGUGGACGUAUACGGUGUGACGCCUGCCCGGUGCCGGAAGGUUAAUUGAUGGGGUUAUCCGUAAGGAGAAGCUCUUGAUCGAAGCCCCGGUAAACGGCGGCCGUAACUAUAACGGUCCUAAGGUAGCGAAAUUCCUUGUCGGGUAAGUUCCGACCUGCACGAAUGGCGUAAUGAUGGCCAGGCUGUCUCCACCCGAGACUCAGUGAAAUUGAACUCGCUGUGAAGAUGCAGUGUACCCGCGGCAAGACGGAAAGACCCCGUGAACCUUUACUAUAGCUUGACACUGAACAUUGAGCCUUGAUGUGUAGGAUAGGUGGGAGGCUUUGAAGCGUGGACGCCAGUCUGCGUGGAGCCAACCUUGAAAUACCACCCUUUAAUGUUUGAUGUUCUAACGUUGGCCCCUGACCGGGGUUGCGGACAGUGUCUGGUGGGUAGUUUGACUGGGGCGGUCUCCUCCCAAAGCGUAACGGAGGAGCACGAAGGUUAGCUAAUCCUGGUCGGACAUCAGGAGGUUAGUGCAAUGGCAUAAGCUAGCUUGACUGCGAGCGUGACGGCGCGAGCAGGUGCGAAAGCAGGUCAUAGUGAUCCGGUGGUUCUGAAUGGAAGGGCCAUCGCUCAACGGAUAAAAGGUACUCCGGGGAUAACAGGCUGAUACCGCCCAAGAGUUCAUAUCGACGGCGGUGUUUGGCACCUCGAUGUCGGCUCAUCACAUCCUGGGGCUGAAGUAGGUCCCAAGGGUAUGGCUGUUCGCCAUUUAAAGUGGUACGCGAGCUGGGUUUAGAACGUCGUGAGACAGUUCGGUCCCUAUCUGCCGUGGGCGCUGGAGAAUUGAGGGGGGCUGCUCCUAGUACGAGAGGACCGGAGUGGACGCAUCACUGGUGUUCGGGUUGUCAUGCCAAUGGCACUGCCCGGUAGCUAAAUGCGGAAGAGAUAAGUGCUGAAAGCAUCUAAGCACGAAACUUGCCCCGAGAUGAGUUCUCCCUGAGACUUUAAGUCUCCUGAAGGAACGUUGAAGACGACGACGUUGAUAGGCCGGGUGUGUAAGCGCAGCGAUGCGUUGAGCUAACCGGUACUAAUGAACCGUGAGGCUUAACCUU